rnacentral:rRNA from 1 species
AUUGAACGCUGGCGGCAGGCCUAACACAUGCAAGUCGAGCGAGGGGCGGACGGGUGAGUAAUGUAUGGGGACUGCCCGAUGGAGGGGGUUAACUACUGGGAACGGUAUCUAAUACCGCAUACUAUCGGAUAACCCAUAUGGGAUUAGCUAGUAGGUGAGGUAAUGGCUCACCUAGGCGACGAUCCCUAGCUGGUCUGAGAGGAUGAUCAGCCACACUGGGACUGAGACACGGCCCAGACUCCUACGGAGGCAGCAGUGGGGAAUAUUGCACAAUGGGCGCAAGCCUGAUGCAGCCAUGCCGCGUGUAUGAAGAAGGCCCUAGGGUUGUAAAGUACUUUCGGUAGGGAGGCGUUACCGGCAGAAGAAGCACCGGCUAACUACGUGCCAGCAGCCGCGGUAAUUC